GCUGCAGGAAGCAAACAAAUCCACUGUAACAUUAGCUCAGGCAGAAGGUUCCAGCUCAUUGAGAGCAAGCUCAUUUGUUUUCGCAUUAAGGCUCAUCCAAGCCUACCUGGGCUGUGCUCACUGGGUUAUAGUAGUGCCAGGGCAGAGCUGGGGAGAGGUGAUAGAUUUAUGACGCACUGCCUUGAUGACAUAUUUACCAGGCCUUGCCUGCAGGAGCCAGAGUCCAGGAGCUGGAAGAUGAGAGUCCUGACUGGAAACUGAGCCCACUGGGAAAACACGGGUUGUGUGUGUAAAAUCACGAAUCUGAGUAGCAGUCUACUUGCAUGAUACCACAAGAAGAUGGGACUGCAAACGGAUGGACUUUAAUUUUCUGAAGGGAAAUGGAUUUUUAUCACUGAGAUUUUGUGUUCCUUAAAAAAAGACAGCUAAGUGUCCAAGUGGCUUGAAGAUAUUCCCACAGCAACAUUCCUCAGAGCAAAGUCUAAAGCACACAUCCCAAGUGAAAAACCUGAUACAUGAUGCCCUCAGCAGAGCAAGGAUAGAGUGUGGUUCCAAGAACAACAGAACAGCCAACAGCUCUCAGAAUUACCAGACUAGGAAUGAAACUUCCUACAGUGAGCUGGGUCCUUUUGAAGAAAUUAUCAGUCAAGAAAAUGUACACACCCACCAUUCUGGGGAGGAGCAGUAACAAGACAUUCUUGAAAAACCACAGAAUGUAUUGAUGGUCACCUGACCCUCUGGUCCCAGUGGUCCCAGAUAAGAGUUCAAAUACAUGUCAUAUACUUGCUAGCCAAUAGAUUCAAAGGUCAGUAUGCUUAGCCAAUAAGUUUAAACUGUAACCUUGCUAAUGUAACCUGUACCUCUAUAAAGUAUAAAAAUUGUUUGCUAUAGCCAUUCGGGGUCACCUUCUAGUCACUGGCCACGAGGGGCUGAUUGAAGAUUGACCCCAACAAGUAGGAAAAUAAACCUCUUGCAUUUGCAUCAACAAAAGAAAGAAAGAAAGAGAGAGAGGACGAGAAAGAGAGAGAGAGACAAAGAAAAGACAAAAAGAAAAGAAAGGAAAGGAAAGGAAAAGAAAAAAGAAAGGAAAAGAAAAGAGAAGAAAAAAGAAAAGAAAAGGUACACAUUGCCUACAGGCCAAUCUAGUGGGAACAUUAUUCAAUUGAAGUUGCCACUUUCCAUGACUUCAGCAUCUCUCAAGUAGACAGAUAGAACUAUCCAGGACUCUUCCUUUCUCUCUUCCUUUGCUAUUGGAGCCUUACCUGCACCCCUCGCCAUCAUCUCUACUCAUAGCUUUGUGGUUACCAGGAAAGGAAUCUACUCUGGUUCAUCUCUGUGAAGUACAUGACUAUAUCUUUUUACACAUUGAAGCCAAUAUCAGACCUCUAAGGACCACAAUAUUACCUGCUGUUCUAUUUUCUCCAUGCUCCAGCUUCUCUCUGUAACUUCAUUUUUUGGUUUUAUUAAAAGCUUUCCUUCUCUUUCAAUAUAGUUCCUGAGCUUUGGCUUCUGAUCCUGCCAACACUGGACCUAACUCAGUUUUCCCAUUACUACUAUUUUACCUCACUUCUGUACUUGGCUCUGUUUUUCUCUCUCUUUCAUACAUGAUCCCACAUCCCAUGGACCAGGCUUGGCUGGAGUGGCCCAUGAUGCAAUCAGUGAUUGCGUAAGUUAUAUGAAUAGAGUGAUCUCUUGUAAGAAUUGUGGAUGAAGUCAUCUUUCUCCCAGUGAUUUCUGACUGAGAAGAAUACUUUACAUACUUCUUUGAGAAAGAAUUAUGAUUACUUCACCAGAGUGACUAUAAAGUAUCAGGUCCUAAAAGAGGAUUAAACAGGAAAAUAUAGUUUUAUCCCAACAUAUAUGGCAGUACACUAAGUACAUAAUGUAUUAAUCUUGCCACAGACUUUUGUGACCAUUCUGCAUUUACCAGUAGGCAGCAAGUGCUUGGUUGAUUGUUAUGUUAUCUUCAGCUUCAUAGAAAAUUUUCAGAGUUGACAUCAGUGUGAUAUUUUAUAGAUGAAAGCAUGACUAGGAUUUGGGGUAAUUUCCUCACAGAUAUAUAAUGGAAAAGAAAUUCGGGGCAAGAAUGCAUGACUAUCUGACUGGCUUAUAUAAUGCUUUCAGAAAAUGUUAGCUUAGCAUCUAACCCAUUACUGACUGUACUGUGUGGUCUGAUGUGAGUCUCACAUAUUCUAGCCUCUGUUUCUCACUCAGAAAGCAAAGCUGUUCAUUAGAAUAUUGCUAUGGUCCCUCCUAGCUUCAACGUUUAUGAAACUUUGAUAAGCUUUUCUUAUUAUACACUAUCCUAUGCAUAAUUCACAUCACUAUUUAUUUGGUGUUUUUAGUAGUAACUAUUAGAAUGUGCACUACAGGCAAAUAAUGAUAAUGACCCUCACUGAAAUGACAAGCUGUCAUUGUACAUUCAGCACUAGAAUUUUCCAGAGAAUGUAUUAGAUGCAUCUUGCUGUCACCCAAUAUCAGAUGACUUCCAUUGACACAAUGUAUCAAGUGUGAACCAAAGGAUCCUAUCCACAUAUAAGCCACACAAUAAACACAAGGAAGAAAUGGGGGGGGAUCAAGCAAGUGCUUUAUAAAUGUAAAAAAAAUUAAAGGAAGAGAUGGGAUGUAUGAAUGAACAAACAAUGAGACCACUCAGUUUGUUGAAUUUUAGAGGCCUGAUGGGAAUAGCCUUGGAGAUGUGGACUGAUAUUGUCAAAAAUAAUUAUUCAUGAGAAUUCAUAGUAAUCCCUGUCCACUUUAAACAAAACUAACUGAGCCUUUUAAGUUGACUUGAAAUGAUUUGGUUUUCAUUUCUUUUAUGAGUCAGUGUUUCUUAGGACACCUGAGUAUUUGAAGAGAACAGGAAGGAGAGAGACAACUUCCACGAUUUUAAUUCAGAGAGCCAAACCAAUCUAGUGCCUUGGGGAAGAGUGCUCUGAGCAGAGUGCAGCUGUGAGGCUGUUUCUUGUGACUUGUGUGGCACAGAGCUGAGAGAGUGUAAGGGACGGGAAGUGAUGUGGAACCGGAAUUCAGAGAGCUCCAAGUCCCACUGCAGUAAAAGUCUGCCCAAGAAGCAGCUGAGUACAUAAAAGCUCAUAACUAAAACCAAAACAGUGAUAUUCCCCAUUGUGACUGUUUAGUCUUUCUGUAGAGACCCAUGGGGUCCUGGCUAUUAUCUAUUUUUAAUAUCACUUGACCUGAAAAUUUAUGCUACCAUCUGGAAAAAGAGGAAAGCCUUCCUCUAAUGUGAAUAAAUGAGUAAGAAGUCAAGAAAAAUGGGGACGGGAGACUCAUAGGGUGUUUAAUGAUUUUAAAUCUGUUGAUGCUGCUUAUGUUUUAAGCUUUUUCCAAAAGUUGAAAAAAAUUAGACAUUCUAAACAAUUGAUCGAUAAAUUCACAUUUACACAUUGUAGUGUUUACCUAGUGUCCCUGUGUUCUAAAUAGAGUGGGUUAAAACCUAUUUAUAUGCAUUCUUUUUAUAUUUAAACUAGAAAAAGACACUGCUCUUUGAGAGGUGUUAUGGACUGUUUACUAAUUUUUCUUAUACCCUCACUUUUCUCUCACCUCUGCUGAAAAAAAUCAACCAUUUUCUACUGUUUCUUUCAGACUGAGUUAAUGAAAUAAUUUAUGGGAUUAGACUCACUCUUCAUGCAGUCAAAGAGGUUAUGUGGAACCUGAUAGGUUUUGGUAACUUAGAUAGAAACCUGGAAUAUAGAUACAUAUAAACCUUUAUCAGUGCCAUCACCUAUACCCAAGUGAUUUAAAAGACAGAACAUACAGAUACAAAGGAAGAACUCGUCCUACAGUGACCAGUGGCAGGAGAUGUGUACUGAGUCAAAGAAAGCUGUUACUGGAUAGGGGAUGAGCAUGGUAAAUCACCUUGGAGAAAAUAAUAUUUGCUCAGGAAUCAUUUAUAUGGAUGAGAAAAUUGCUAAUUUAACAAGAAAGGUCAUGACAACUUUAAUGACAAAAAUUGAUGUUUCUUUCAUUUUGAUUAUGUUAGCCAUUUAGACUUCACAACAGAGGUCACAGUGGAAAAAGUCACUGUAUACCUGUUCAGACAAUGAUGAUUUAUAGACUGAUGCUUGGAUACUGCUUGUACUGAUCAGUCCCUAAGAUGGGGUGGCACAAAGCAGCUAUACUUCUAUAGUCAUUACCUUUUUGAGAAAAGGGCUACCUCACCAUAAUCAACUUCUUUAUCCUUCAGUAAAGAGAGUAACUAACUGAUGAUAUAACAGCUAUAUGAUCCAGCAGUUCCUCUUCUCUGGAUGUAUAUUUUGCAUCCAUAGAGUUUGAGAUAAGGCUCCCAAAAAUUAUGUCCAGACUUUUGUGCCUACUGUGGCAUCGUUCCCAAUUGCAAGGACUGGGAAAAAAUCACCAUCAGAAGAUGAAAGGGCAAAGAAAGUACAGGAAAUGCAGGCAAUGGAAUAUUACUUAGCUUUUGUGAGAUGCUUGUUUUGUCGUUUUAAUGAUAUGGAA